rnacentral:pre_miRNA from 1 species
CAAAUACUCCCUCCAUCCGAAAAUACUUGUCAUCAAAAUGGAUAAAAGGAAAUGUAUCUAGACGUAUUUUAGUUUUAGAUACAUCUAUUUUUAUCCAUUUUGAUGACAAGUAUUUUCGGACGGAGGGAGUAGAAA